GGUCCUUCAUCAUGUACAGUAGAGGUGAGACUUUACAUACAAUGCUUAAUUUGAUGUUCAUAGCAGUCAUGAUUUUCAGUUAUUGCCCUUUUAUAAUUAUAGUUCAUUGCCCUCAGUUUGUGCAUUUAUCAUAUUGAUUCCUUACUUAAAAGAGUUAUUACUUUGAACAUUUCUUCUUGCAUUUAUGGGAGACAUCCUUCCUUGCUUGUUGCUUCCUUUCUUCUUCUCCUUCAUUUUCUUGUUUCUUCUUUUUACCCUCCAAAAUAUCUAUUUUGCUUCUUUUGGUGCAAGCUUAAGUUAGGCCCUCACAGUUGUGUUUUCACUUUUCAGCUAACUGUUUCUUACGAGGUUC
rnacentral:misc_RNA from 1 species